UCUCUACGCAUUUCACCGCUACACCUGGAAUUCUACCAUCCUCUCCCAUACUCUAGCUUCCCAGUUUCGAAUGCAAUUCCCAAGUUAAGCUCGGGGAUUUCACAUCCGACUUAAAAAGCCGCCUACGCACGCUUUACGCCCAGUAAAUCCGAUUAACGCUCGCACCCUCUGUAUUACCGCGGCUGCUGGCACAGAGUUAGCCGGUGCUUAUUCUGCGAGUAACGUCCACUAUCCAGUAGUAUUAGUACUAGUAGCCUCCUCCUCGCUUAAAGGGCUUUACAACCAAAAAGCCUUCUUCACACACGCGGCAGGGCUGGAUCAGGCUUCCGCCCAUUGUCCAAUAUUCCCCACUGCUGCCUCCCGUAGGAGUCUGGGCCGGGUCUCAUUCCCAGGGGGG
rnacentral:rRNA from 1 species